rnacentral:rRNA from 1 species
GAUGAACGCUGGCGGCGUGCUUAACACAUGCAAGUCGAACGGUGAAGGCGGAGCUUGCUCUGCUGGAUCAGUGGCGAACGGGUGAGUAACACGUGAGCAAUCUGCCCCUGACUCUGGGAUAAGCGCUGGAAACGGCGUCUAAUACUGGAUACGAGCUGCGAGGGCAUCUUCAGCAGCUGGAAAGAACUUCGGUCAGGGAUGAGCUCGCGGCCUAUCAGCUUGUUGGUGAGGUAAUGGCUCACCAAGGCGUCGACGGGUAGCCGGCCUGAGAGGGUGACCGGCCACACUGGGACUGAGACACGGCCCAGACUCCUACGGGAGGCAGCAGUGGGGAAUAUUGCACAAUGGGCGCAAGCCUGAUGCAGCAACGCCGCGUGAGGGACGACGGCCUCGGUGUAACGUCUUUAGUCAGGAGAAGACGAAGUAGACGGUACCUGCAGAAAAGACGACCGGCGUACUAACGUGCCAG